AUGGUGCUUUCAAUCUUGAACGUUUUAGGUCUACAUCUUUCUGAUGAUGCUGUCGAAGAUGAUCAGAUAUUCGAGGAGACAGACUUGAACAACAACGGGAUCAAAUUCGUUCAUCCAUUGGAUCGAUCAUGGAUGGCUAGAUCUGCAGCUCUGGGGUUAACCUGCCGCUGUACAUCCCUGUGUUGGCUCCAUGUUCCUCCACAUCCCUUGACUGUUGACUCCACCCACCAACGCAACCGCCUGUUCCCCUUCCCCUUCCACUUCUUUUCCCCAACCAAUUCGGCCUCCGCUGCUCCAUCUUCUUUGGUUUCCUACCGGAACUACCACCGUUGUGAGACGCCGACUCCCGCACGCACCAGUCCAUCUUCUUUGGUUCUCCUACGGAACUACCACCGGUGUGAGACGCCGGCUCCCGCACGCACCAGUCCAUCUUCUUUGGUUCUCCUACCGGAACUACCACCGGUGUGA
rnacentral:rRNA from 1 species